rfam:Ricinus communis cultivar Hale ctg_1100012355845, whole genome shotgun sequence.
AAUCCGUGAUGUCGGCAGCAUCUCAAAAGAUCCUUAAACCUCUCCCAUGCAUCGUACAUGCUCUCAUUAUCAAACUAUACGAAAGAAGAUAUGUCAUUUCUAAGUUU